CCUACGGGGGGCUGCAGUGGGGAAUAUUGGACAAUGGGGGCAACCCUGAUCCAGCCAUGCCGCGUGUGUGAAGAAGGCCCUCGGGUUGUAAAGCACUUUCAGUGAGGAAGAACGCCUGGUGGUUAAUACCCAUCAGGAAAGACAUCACUCACAGAAGAAGCACCGGCUAACUCCGUGCCAGCAGCCGCGGUAAUACGGAGGGUGCGAGCGUUAAUCGGAAUUACUGGGCGUAAAGCGCGCGUAGGUGGCUUGAUAAGCCGGUUGUGAAAGCCCCGGGCUCAACCUGGGAACGGCAUCCGGAACUGUCAAGCUAGAGUGCAGGAGAGGAAGGUAGAAUUCCCGGUGUAGCGGUGAAAUGCGUAGAGAUCGGGAGGAAUACCAGUGGCGAAGGCGGCCUUCUGGACUGACACUGACACUGAGGUGCGAAAGCGUGGGUGGCAAACAGGAUUAGAUACCCUUGUAGUC
rnacentral:rRNA from 1 species